rnacentral:rRNA from 1 species
GACGAACGUUGGCGGCGUGCUUAACACAUGCAAGUCGAACGGAAAGGCCCUGCUUUUGUGGGGUGCUCGAGUGGCGAACGGGUGAGUAACACGUGAGUAACCUGCCCUUGACUUUGGGAUAACUUCAGGAAACUGGGGCUAAUACCGGAUAGGAGCUCCUGCUGCAUGGUGGGGGUUGGAAAGUUUCGGCGGUUGGGGAUGGACUCGCGGCUUAUCAGCUUGUUGGUGGGGUAGUGGCUUACCAAGGCUUUGACGGGUAGCCGGCCUGAGAGGGUGACCGGCCACAUUGGGACUGAGAUACGGCCCAGACUCCUACGGGAGGCAGCAGUGGGGAAUAUUGCACAAUGGGCGGAAGCCUGAUGCAGCAACGCCGCGUGCGGGAUGACGGCCUUCGGGUUGUAAACCGCUUUCGCCUGUGACAAAGCGUGAGUGACGGUAAUGGGUAAAGAAGCACCGGCUAACUACGUGCCAGCAGCCGCGGUGAUACGUAGGGUGCGAGCGUUGUCCGGAUUUAUUGGGCGUAAAGGGCUCGUAGGUGGUUGAUCGCGUCGGAAGUGUAAUCUUGGGGCUUAACCCUGAGCGUGCUUUCGAUACGGGUUGACUUGAGGAAGGUAGGGGAGAAUGGAAUUCCUGGUGGAGCGGUGGAAUGCGCAGAUAUCAGGAGGAACACCAGUGGCGAAGGCGGUUCUCUGGGCCUUUCCUGACGCUGAGGAGCGAAAGCGUGGGGAGCGAACAGGCUUAGAUACCCUGGUAGUCCACGCUGUAAACGGUGGAUACUAGGUGUGGGGUCCAUUCCACGGGUUCCGUGCCGUAGCUAACGCUUUAAGUACCCCGCCUGGGAAGUACGGCCGCAAGGCUAAAACUCAAAGGAAUUGACGGGGCCCCGCACAAGCGGCGGAGCAUGCGGAUUAAUUCGAUGCAACGCGUAGAACCUUACCUGGGUUUGACAUGGAUCGGGAGUGCUCAGAGAUGGGUGUGCCUCUUUUGGGGUCGGUUCACAGGUGGUGCAUGGCUGUCGUCAGCUCGUGUCGUGAGAUGUUGGGUUAAGUCCCGCAACGAGCGCAACCCUUGUUCACUGUUGCCAGCACGUUAUGGUGGGGACUCAGUGGAGACCGCCGGGGUCAACUCGGAGGAAGGUGGGGAUGACGUCAAGUCAUCAUGCCCCUUAUGUCCAGGGCUUCACGCAUGCUACAAUGGCUGGUACAGAGAGUGGCGAGCCUGUGAGGGUGAGCGAAUCUCGGAAAGCCGGUCUCAGUUCGGAUUGGGGUCUGCAACUCGACCUCAUGAAGUCGGAGUCGCUAGUAAUCGCAGAUCAGCAACGCUGCGGUGAAUACGUUCCCGGGGCU